CCGUCCCGAAGUGAGGGCGUGCUGGCCGUCACGUGAGAGUGACGUAACCAUUUACAUAGUUCAGAAGCUUUAAAAAAAAAUUUCCAAUUACUAAGAUGACACACCCGAGGGUGAGUCCUACUUUUGUGAAUUCUGUCAGAACACCGUUGGAUUCCUCGUGGCCACCAAAGCUCUGCUAACUUGAACCUGGAGGGGCGCAAAACAAAAUUGAGUGGGUCAGUAAAAACAAAGUUUUUUGAAAACUUUUCAUUUAAAAUAUUUCUAACCCCUCACCGUAAAACCUGUAUACUUUCCCAGAAAAUAGCAUAUAUAUAAACAUAUAUAUAAGCAAAAAUCUCAAAUCUCAAACCUUUAACACUUUUCAGAAAAAUAUAUAUAUAUAUAUAACCAUAUGAAAUCUCAAAACUUGAAUCCCAAAUCUUUAACAUUUUUCAAGAAAAACAUGCCAUGCCAUAAAUCAAAAUAUAAAUCAGGUGAAAUAAGGAAUCAAUCGGAGACCCUGCAGUUGGUCCUAUACGAUUAAUUCAAUAGCUCAAUAUCUCACUAAGCCGGAGUCACCACAGUGACCUAUACGGCCCUACUCUGCACAUCACUCGGAACUACGUAAGGUAGUCUGUACGAUGAAAGGUGUAAAAAUACGCUCUAGUGCUUCUCUCAUCAUAUCAUCAGCGCGCAUAACUAAGGUCACCCACUAGUCGGAAUCACGCCUAGUGAUCUGUACGACUAGCAUGUCGGAACCCUCACAUGGUCUGUACGACAUCCACCUACUUGGAUCCAAGGCGAGCGUGCGGUGUGGUGAAUAAAAUAAGCACUAACACCUAGGGUGCAGAUUAUGAGCUCAAAUUAUAUCAACAUCAACCAAUUCAAUGCAUAAAUGAACUCACCUGACUUACCUUUGCCUCCACAGCACCAUGCAAUAUGUAUGCAUCAUAUAUCAAUCAUAUAAUUCAUAAACCAAUCCAUGAUUUUCAAAUAAUUCUAUGCAUGGCAUGUUCAAAACAUAUUUUCAUAUAAAACAUUUUCUGGGAAAAACAGUAGUAUAUAGGUAAUACGAAAACAAAACUGCCCACUCACCUGGAGUUCGCUCAACAACUCCCUAGCACCACACAUCAAGGCGUCAUGAAGAUUAGCGCCUAGAACAAUAAUCAAACCCAACCUCAGAAAUCCUGCCGAUAGAAUACAUAACUUAUAUAAGACACGUCACUACGUAGUUCGAUCCGGAUGAUCUGCAAUUCAGAUUUCAAAUCCGAAACUUCCAGAGGUCCACAAUAUACCUCUAGGACAACAUCCUAAAAUUUCGUUACCAUCCAACGGUCGGAUCUCCGUCAAUUUCCAAAACUAAGUGACGGUUAACAUUCUAUUUUUAUGAACUUACAAUUCUAAUUCCGGAAUAUCCGUAAAUCGGAUUCCCAAUCCGUAAGUUCCUAUAAUCCUCAAAUAUUACGUAUUUACAAUGUAUCAAAGUUUGAUGACGAUCCAACGGUCGGAUCGUCAAUUCACAUUUUCACCUAACCCCGAAUCGUAACCAACUUAGGUUCAAUUAUUCAAUUUACGUCCAUCAAUUAUCAAAACAGAACCUAGAACCUUAAUCACAAGCUAAUAAUGACAUUGGCGGCCAUUGGCCACACGUCGCCGCGCGGGCCGCCGCGGGUGGCGGUUGGCCGCCCCCGGCUCGCCGGAAAAUUCAACUAUUUCCAAAAAUUACCAAAAUUAUUUGCAGAUUUGAAGAUCUCAAUGAGUAGAACAACUUUCAUACCUGAGACCAAGGCCAAUUUGGCCUGGAAGUGCUUCAAUUUCACCAAAACCGUGAAGAACCCUAGAAUUUGGGUGUUUCCAAUUCGACCUUCAAACUUGUUCCAACGCCUCAAUUACCUCUUGGGCUUUGUUCUAGGUCCUAAAGGAAUGCUAAA
rnacentral:lncRNA from 1 species